rnacentral:misc_RNA from 1 species
GAUGAAGAACGUAGCGAAAUGCGAUAGGUAAUGUGAAUUGCAGAAUUCAGUGAAUCAUCGAAUCUUUGAACGCACAUUGCGCCCGUCAGUAUUCUGGCGGGCAUGCCUGUUCGAGCGUCAUUACGCCCCUCAAGUCCCCUGUGGACUUGGUGUUGGGGAUCGGCGAGGCUGGUUUUCCAGCACAGCCGUCCCUUAAAUUAAUUGGCGGUCUCGCCGUGGCCCUCCUCUGCGCAGUAGUAAAACACUCGCAACAGGAGCCCGGCGCGGUCCACUGCCGUAAAACCCCCCAACUUUUUAUAGUUGACCUCGAAUCAGGUAGGACUACCCGCUGAACUUAAGCAUAUCAAUAAGCGGAGGA